ACCCCGAGCGGAGCGGGCCCAGGACCCUAUCGGCUGUCGAGCCGGUGCUGCCGCGGCCACCGCCACCGCCCAGGGGCUCCGGGGCUGUGGGGAGCGGCUGAACUCAAUACCGCCUCCGCGCUGACUGGAAGGCACUGCGGCCGCGCCUGCCUGCCCCACCUCGUAAGGGCCUGUGACCUCACGAGGCCAGCCGCCGGGCGCUGCAUUCGAGCGAACUUCAGAUUGAAAAGCAUGUACUUGAGUAGCUGUAUUUAAGGAAUUACACCCAAGAAGUCUCAUCUUCCCUGGACUUACGUAGAGGAUAAGAUUCUGAACUUUGAAUUGAUGCUAUAAUGGGAUAAGACUUUGGGGCCUUAGAAGGGGAGAACAAAGGCCAUGAAGGUGUUAAAGGGAAGCAAGCGAUCGACAGCAUUGGUUGGUGACAAACCUGUGGCUGGUCUGUGUAUGAUGGGAUGGAUUCCUCCUGCUCCCAGAAGGCACUGUACUUUCAGUGUUCAGGGCAGCCUUGCCUUAGUGCCUCAAACCUAUCCCUACAUCCUGCAGUAAACUUGGAAAGGUAACACCUCUAACCAUCAGGCCUUCCUCUGAAGCACAGUCAAGUUGCUCUUGGCAACCAUCUCAAUUUUAAUAGUGCAGAUGCCAUGUGCUGUAAAGUCCUAAAAUUUAAAUUCUUUAUUUCUUGACAUCAUUGCCUCAAAAAAA